AGGCGACGAUCAGUAGCCGGCCUGAGAGGGUGAACGGCCACAUUGGGACUGAGACACGGCCCAGACUCCUACGGAGGGCAGCAGUGGGGAAUAUUGCACAAUGGGGGAAACCCUGAUGCAGCGACGCCGCGUGAGUGAAGAAGUAUCUCGGUACGUAAAGCUCUAUCAGCAGGGAAGAAAAAAAGUCUUUGGCUUUGGACGGUACCUGACUAAGAAGCCCCGGCUAGCUACGUGCCAGCAGCCGCGGUAAUACGUAGGGGGCAAGCGUUAUCCGGAUUUACUGGGUGUAAAGGGAGCGUAGACGGCAGCGCAAGUCUGGAGUGAAAUGCCGGGGCUCAACCCCGGAACUGCUUUGGAAACUGUGCAGCUAGAGUGCGGGAGAGGUAAGCGGAAUUCCUAGUGUAGCGGUGAAAUGCGUAGAUAUUAGGAGGAACACCAGUGGCGAAGGCGGCUUGCUGGACCGUAACUGACGUUGAGGCUCGAAAGCGUGGGGAGCAAACAGGAUUAGAUACCCUGGUAGUCCACGCCGUAAACGAUGAUUACUAGGUGUCGGGGGACCAAGGUGCUCCG
rnacentral:rRNA from 1 species